CCGGCAGACAGUGAUUUUGAUUCUUUCUUUUAUACCGCUAUAACUAGCUAAGUGAUAAUACACCUAAAUUCUUAGAGUAUAGGCCUUUACAGACAGGCCUGAAUAUCUAUAUCCUAACAACAAGUACUUGGAAGUAUUUUAAUGUCUAGGUUCCUAAAAUAGGAACUGUUCUUAAAUUUACAAAGAUGUUGAAAUGAACUAAAAGUACCCAAACAAGCUUCAGAAAGUACCUGUUAGCCCAGAACAGUUAACUUGUAAGAGCAACUAUAUAAAAUGUUAUAACUGACAUUCCCAAAAGCAAGGGAACUACGUGGCAGUGCUGAGACAUACAACGCUGACACUUAUUACAGCUGCCUAAUGUCCCUGAUAUUCAGUGCACACCCUCUUGCAGCUGCCUUCAGUGCAAUGGCUAUUGACCCAUGAUAGAGGUACACAGGAUACAUUCAGUAAUGUUGGACUUCUCUAGAAAUCCGACAGUAGAGAGAGAUUUGUUGCUAGCCUGACACUAAUGCUAGUGAUCAACCACACACUAAACUGUACUGCUGAAAUGUUCAUGUGGACUUGAAGUUUCUUGUUAAAUAUCGAUACUUCACAAUAAGCCUUGAAAAAAUAAAAUUGUAACUUCUAGGCCAAUGUAUCUUUCAGCCCAAUGACUCAAGAUAGCAAAACAUACAACUGGUCUAAAAUAUAAAGUGGUAACCAAGAUGCUGAUGACAAAACUAAUGUGUAAACCAAUUAAGAGUUUAAAUAAAUUCAUGCUUCCAGCUAUCCCAGUUUCUGUUCUCUUCCUUUGUUAGGCAAUACAUGGAAAUUGUGUAAAGUGAAGUUUCUCUUGGUGCUGCUUAUUGCCCAAAUGGACGUUCUUACAUUCCUGAGUUCUCUGGAAAUGCUAUAGGAUGGCUAAUUAUGAAAUAAGCACAUAACUCUUCUUUGAAGGAAAAACCAGUCAGUCAAUGGCUUAAAAUUAUUUAAAUCUAACGUCAAGUCUGUUUGCUUGUUACAUACAGAAUGUGUCUACAAACAAAUGUAUAAGGUUAAAGACCAUGUGACACUUGUCCAGAGUCAAUUUGACUGAAUUAAAACUCUGGUGCUUUGGGUGUUUUUGGGAGACUACAGGCUUUAACUUACAGCUUUUUAGGGAAGGGACUUUCUCCUUAGGCACUAUACAAAUAAGUACUAACACAAUGGGACUCUGAUUUAAUUGAAGCCUGUAGGUGCUGCUCCUGUUUGGGUUUCUUUUUUU